UCAGUGCACUACAGAACUUUGUC
rnacentral:ncRNA from 7 species